rnacentral:lncRNA from 1 species
CCACCCAACACCACAAAACUACUCUCUCCUCUCCCUCAAAAACUUUCGGCCGAACACCCCUUGAUCAUCCAUCAUAUUUUUCGAUUUUGUUCUUCACAUUCCAACAUCAUACAAGUGUCAAGUGUCACGCAUAAGAAGGCUUGGUGCACUCGGAGCUCGAAGGACCUCUUUCUCUAGCUUUUAUCCACCACAUUCGCGUCUAGAUACUUCCCUAGCCUCGAGCUAGUGGUCACGACGCUAGAUAAGCAACUCCGGUGAAGUUUACGACGCAGGAACGCAAAGUUGUGAGUUCAUGCUCCCCCUUUUCUUUAACUGUUUUUGGUUUUAUAACUCUCGGGGGUGAAAUACAUGUUACAAAUAUUAUAAUUUUUUUACAAGUAGUAAAAAUACAAGAAGCACUCUUGGUGAGAACGAGUACCGAGUGCAAUACGAAUCGAGAAUACAAAAAUACGAGAAGCACACUUGGUGAGAACGAGAACCAAGUAUGAUGUGCUUUAAGAAAUGCCUAGAAAUUACUAGAUCAUGUGACAGGAUGGAUCUUGGGCGCAAGUGUUGUAACUAGAAGUAGACUACAAGUUUAGAUGUCAUCCACUUUUGUUGAAUUGUAACCUAGAUGAAGGUUGUGUUUUAAAACUUAAAUGACAAGUGUUUGUGAUCCUCAAAAUUUUCCGAAUGGAUGAACAUCGUUUUAAAUCAUGUAGUUGUUUAUUAUGAU